AUGGGAAAAGGGGCAACAAACAUUCAAGACACAACAAACAUCAGCAACCAAAGAAUGCAUGACACAGAUAAUUCUCUCGUGAGAAGAAGAAAGAAAAGCAAGCGAGGAUCUCACGAGUGUGUGUGUGUGAGUGAGGGGAGGGAAACAGUCACUACUACCUCCUAUCCUGGGGCAGCAGCUGGGACCAAUGUGAAAUCAACACACUCCACUCUAGAUUAUACUACUACUGUACUAUGUCCAAGACCAUGUGCAAUUGUCCAGCACCAGCUAUACAGUAGAGUCACAGACCAAAAGGAAAUUCCCAUGACAAAUUACUAA
rnacentral:rRNA from 1 species